UCCGAAGGGGGCUAGCGUUGCUCGGAAUCACUGGGCGUAAAGGGUGCGUAGGCGGGUCUUUAAGUCAGGGGUGAAAUCCUGGAGCUCAACUCCAGAACUGCCUUUGAUACUGAGGAUCUUGAGUCCGGGAGAGGUGAGUGGAACUGCGAGUGUAGAGGUGAAAUUCGUAGAUAUUCGCAAGAACACCAGUGGCGAAGGCGGCUCACUGGCCCGGUACUGACGCUGAGGCACGAAAGCGUGGGGAGCAAACAGG
rnacentral:rRNA from 1 species